rnacentral:rRNA from 1 species
UACAGAGGGGGCAAGCGUUGUUCGGAAUUACUGGGCGUAAAGGGCGCGUAGGCGGCCUUGUAAGUCGGACGUGAAAUCCCUGGGCUCAACCCAGGAACUGCGUCCGAUACUGGUUGGCUUGAAUCCGGGAGAGGGACGUGGAAUUCCAGGUGUAGCGGUGAAAUGCGUAGAUAUCUGGAGGAACACCGGUGGCGAAGGCGACGUCCUGGACCGGUAUUGACGCUGAGGCGCGAAAGCCAGGGGAGCAAACGGG